rnacentral:rRNA from 1 species
UACGGAGGGGUGCAAGCGUUAUCCGGAUUUACUGGGUUUAAAGGGUGUGUAGGCGGGGUCUUUAAGUCAGUGGUGAAAUCUCCGAGCUCAACUUGGAAACUGCCAUUGAUACUAUUGAUCUUGAAUUUUGUUGAGGUAGGCGGAAUAAGUCAUGUAGCGGUGAAAUGCAUAGAUAUGACUUAGAACACCAAUUGCGAAAGGCAGCUUGCUAAACAAAUAUUGACGCUGAGGCACGAAAGCGUGGGGAUCAAACAGG